CCCCGCUGAACAAGGCCCCAACUUGCCCACGAGGAGAGGAGUCCAGAAGAGUGUCUCAGCCAUGGCUGCCCGGCCUGGCCCGCCCGGCCAAGCUGGGUGUCCCCUUAGCCCCUGCGUGCUUUCCUGGGCACAACACAAUCACACAGACUGCUCCAAGCUCCUCGAAGACUAGGAUCUUGUCACGUUUGUAUCCUUGGGCCUGGCACAGGGCCUGGUAACUAGUAGGUGUAGCUGGCUGGCGGCAGCUUCCUUAACAGCAAACGUAGGUGCCAUCCACCCAGCCUUUAUCCCCAGUCCAAGCACUUCAGCGUGGAGGUCUAGCAAGCCCUGGACAGGACCAGCCAGCUAGAGACAGAUUACAGGAGUAAGAGAGAAGAGGAGGGACUGUCCGAGGUGCCUCGGCACUAUGGCUGCACAGCUGGAUCUCUGGACACGGAGCCCUGGACCGUUUCCACCCAGACACUCCCAUUCCAUCAAGUGGGGGUGUGGACGUUUAUGCAAUUCUGGAAGGUCUCCUGGUGGGGACCCCUGGGAAAGAGACUAAUAAGAAAGCAUCCAGUUUCUUCGGUCUCUGACGUUGUUGUCUGCACAAGAGAGUUAAGGCAGCCAUCUUGGGACCAUGAGGGAGCCAGUCUAAGAGGCAAAUCAACACAAUGAGAGGGUGUUGGAAAAAGACAAAAAGAACCUGGUCCUUGAUGUCACAGCCAGGCCUCUGAAUUAACCACCCCCAGGACUUCUUGUUACGUGAGCUAAUAAACGUUCCUUUUUGCUUAAACCCCUUCUAGUUGGGCUUUCUGUUGUAACUUGCACCGAAAACUACAAUAGGAUAGCAAAGGAUAUGAACAUAAGUGAUUUGCCUAGAGGAAACCCACAUGGUCAAUGAGAAUAAGAUGCUCAGCCUCAUAGGCAGGGAAUGCAGCUUCAAAUGAGAUGCCACUUCAUGCCUAUCAGAUUGGCAAACAUAAGUCUAACAAGAGCAAAAGUUGGCAAGGAUGUGGUAAAACAGGAUGUCUUGUACAAACGCUGGUGGUGAGAGGAUCAAUUGGUUCAGACGCUGUAGAGAGCAGUUUGGCAGUACUAGUCAACUUCAAAGUGUGCCUGCCCGACAAUCCUAGCUUUCUAAGUAUAUGCCCUAAUAAUGGGUUCAGAGAAAAGUCCAAGCAUGUUCAUUGAAGCCCUGUUUAUAUAACAGCAAAACAGGCCCGGUGCAAUGGCUCAUGCCUGUAAUCCCAGC
rnacentral:lncRNA from 1 species